GCCGACGUGGCGGAAUUGGCAGACGCGCUAGGUUCAGGACCUAGUGAGGGAUUCCUCAUGCCGGUUCAAGUCCGGCCGUCGGCACCA
rnacentral:tRNA from 1 species